rnacentral:rRNA from 1 species
GAUGAACGCUAGCGAUAGGCUUAACACAUGCAAGUCGAGGGGCAGCAUGGUCUUAGCUUGCUAAGGCUGAUGGCGACCGGCGCACGGGUGCGUAACGCGUAUGCAACUUGCCUCACAGAGGGGGAUAACCCGUCGAAAGACGGACUAAUACCGCGUACACUCUAUGUUGGGCAUCCAAUGUAGAGGAAAUGAAAUUCGCUGUGAGAUAGGCAUGCGUCCCAUUAGCUAGUUGGUGAGGUAACGGCUCACCAAGGCGACGAUGGGUAGGGGAACUGAGAGGUUGAACCCCCGCACUGGUACUGAGACACGGACCAGACUCCUACGGGAGGCAGCAGUGAGGAAUAUUGGUCAAUGGGCGAGAGCCUGAACCAGCCAAGUCGCGUGAAGGAUGACUGUCUUAUGGAUUGUAAACUUCUUUUAUACGGGAAUAACAAGAGUCACGUGUGGCUCCCUGCAUGUACCGUAUGAAUAAGCAUCGGCUAACUCCGUG